AUUUUAUUGGACUGUCUGCGUAAUGUGGGCCACAGACAUUCACCCUGCUGCCCCUCAGCAGCGUACAAUAAGUUGUGUGAGUCAAGCUGUGCUCCCAGAAGGAACACAAGUCUUUAUCCAAAGAGGCUGAGACAGGGAGACUCCAGCACUUCCUGUAACAGCCGGCUCAAAUGCUUCAUUGCCCCGACUUCCUUGUACAAAAUAAAGCAAAUAAAAAUAGUUCCCUUCUUUAUUUUUUAAUUGGGACUUGUCUGGCUUCGGCAUUUAUCCGUCAGUUCUUGUUACGGCUUUCUCUGGGAGAUUAGAGAGUUCUUCGGUACCUGAUAUUUCUUCCCUAGGAAGAAGUGCAUGUGCAGAAGCAAGUCGCCCCUGGACCUUGUUAAUAAACUAAGCAAACAGAUCCCUUCCCAUCUCGCAUGUAGUAUGUUUUUUCCCCAGUUUUGGUAAAUGUUGAGGGCUCUUCACUCCCGUCACUGGAAGACAAGCAGAAAAGAAAAGAGCAGGAAACAGAAAGAAGUCCAAACCCCUGGAAAAUCAGACAGCCACACACUCCCUCCCCUUUGUCUGCAUGAAUACAUUGUUCCCCUUCCCAUUGUCUUCGUAACAAAUUUGGGGAAUUAUCCCUGGUGCCAUUUCCCAAAUCUCGGUAUCGCUUCAGAUUAAUUAUUACCAGCGAGUAGCAGAGAGGGAACUGGCUGUCAGCAUUUGAGCGAGGGGUAAAAAUGAGGGCCGGAGCGUGCAUUUAGCCACACGCACGUUUGCAGGGCAUGGGUGGGAAUGAAAGGGAGCGUUGCAGAGCGCUCCAGCAUCCUCGUGUGCUCGCCCGGCUGCUCCGCUCCGCCACAGGCACACAGCUGGCCGGGAACGAGCGAGCCUGUGGAGCUCCUGUGCAGCCCGACAGGCUGAAACGUCCCAGAGAAGCCGUACAGGCAGAUCUGCCGAGGAGGAAAAUACAACAGGAAAAAUGGCACAAAGACAAACAGAAACUCAAGAGAAAGUGCGUGCUGAGGGGGACUGAGUGCAGAAGAGGGGAGCUCUGGCUGCAGCCCGCUGAGGACAGGCCCUCACACCGAAGCGUGUACCUCCAGUAAAACACUCUGGGUCAUCACGCAGCCCGGGGAGAGGUACUGACCCGCUCUGCUUAUGGCUGUGCUCUCUGCUUGCCACAGCAGCGCCGAGAUUGAGCUCAUCAUAAUGUGUCUCCAUAUAGGGC
rnacentral:lncRNA from 1 species